UCUCCCCUCCCUUUCCCUCUUCUUUCUCUUCAUCCCUUUCUCCUCACCUCUUGCCCCUCCUUACUUUCUCCCCUCUUGCUUUCUUCCCUCUCUUCCCCUCUUCCCUUCUUUCCCCCUCUCCGUUUGGUCUUUUCUCCCCCUCUUUUUGCCCUACUGCCAUUCUCUCCUCUCCCUUCUUUCAUCCUGGUGGGGUGGGGUGUACUUGUUGCUAAGAAAUUCCUCAAAAGGAGAGUGCUAGAGAUACUUGGAGAAAGGACUGGCUUCCAGUUCGCCUUUUCCCCCAACACUUGGCUGGUGUCUCCACCUGGGACCCGCUUCCUAUUUAAAGCGUUAGUAGCAGGUGCUGGCCUCUCGAAUGAUGGACAGGUCGGGCUGCUGCCCGGGCCCUUCCCCCUCGCUAUCUCCACUUUUUCUCCUGGACUCUGCUGACUCAAUGAUCUUGUUUACUCGGAGUCAGUAUCUUCUUGGGUGAAUGCAGUGCAUUGCAUGUCUCCGGCAAUGUGCUGGAGCAAUCAUAAGCUUAAUGUGGCCCAAGACUUUGGAACAACCUUGAACUUUCUUCCACCCUUGGGAGGACCAAGAGGCGAGCAUCGUUUGUCUUUAAUUCCAUUUGACAAGUUUUUAGCGAUCAGUUACGAGGGACACUAGCAUUGUGCUAGCUGCUAUAAUUUUUUGUUACUCUAAAGCCUCUAAUUUGUCUGGAAGAAACUGGAUUUGCUUUAAAGAAAACUGUCUACAGUUCCAUUUGGCAUAAAUUAUAAGAAAUUGUCAUUAAAUCAUUAGAGAUUGUGAAGCCCAGCCCCUUCUUUAUUUUACAGCCGAGGAACUGAGGCACAAAGAAGUUGUGACUUGGCUAGGAUCACACUCUAACUGCUGAAAGUAGGAAUUGGGCAGUUAGGUGGCUCAAUGGAUAGAGCCAGGUCUGUCUGGAGACAUAGAUCUUGGGUUCAAAUUUGACCACAGAUACUGUCUAGCUGUGACCUGGGUAGAUCACCUAACUCUCAUUGUUUAGCCUUUUCUGCUCUUCUGCCUUAGAAUCAAUAUUGAUUCUAAGAUGGAAGGUAAGAGUUUAAAAACAGGAAAAAAAAAGUAGAGUUUGAGUGGUCUGCUUACUCUGUUUCAUUUAUGGUUCCAAAUCCCAAAGUUUACCUAAAUGUAAAUAUGACAAUCUAUAGCCAUUUUUUUUUCUGCAACCCUCACUUCCUUUUUUCCCCCCCUUUUCUGGGCAAAAAGUCAGUUCACAUGUAUUUAACUGCUUUAUUUGUAACUUAACUCCCAACUCUCUGAGGUAUCAUAAGCCAACUUUUGUCUAGGUUUUCCAAUGGGUUGACCAAAGGGAGUUCACCCAAAUCUCUGGAAGAUUUCUUCAUAUAAUCUUGACAUUGAAAGGCUACUAGUGGGCUGACUCUCCAUAGGUUAUCCACAUGAUCAGCCCAUCUUCUUUACUGGCCACAUAUCCUUUGUAUAUCAUCCUUUACCCAAGCUCUUUAUAGUCUAUUAUUUGUUAUGUGUUAGAAGUCUGCUCACUCCCUUCCAGCAUACACCUCUCAUUACCUUCUGUUGUCAUAGUUGUUCAGUCAUUUUAGCUGUAUCUACCUCUUUGUGAGCUCAUUUGGGGUUCUCUUGGCAAAGAUAUUGGAGCGGCUUUCCAUUUCCUCCCUUGUCUCAUUUUAUAAAUGAGGAAACUGAGGCAAACAUUGUUCAGAGAUUCGUCCAGGGUCAUCCAGCUGGUAGCUUCUUGAUUUCUGAGGGGUAUAUAUUUACAACUCAUUUAUAAGCAUAUUAAAAUUGGCAGGGGAUUUUUUUUCAUCCUGCUGUAGGUAGGUAGUGUACUACCUUCCUAAUUAGAUUAAGGUCUCCCCUUUAGUGUCUCUUUUUUAUUAAUAAUAAUGAUGACAGUAAUGAUACUAAUAAGGUAGACUUACAAUUUUAUUGGCAUAUGAAGGUCCUGGUGAGCAAAUUCAUUUUAUCAAAGCCAUUUAGCCCCUUCUUUGCAUUUUAUACCUUAGAGUUGCCUAGAGUAUUCGAAGUUAAGUGACUUGCUCUGGAUCAUACAGCCUCUUUGUGCCAAAGACAAAACUUGAAUCCAGGUCUUCCGGGCUCUGAGGUGAUUCUCCAUAAAUUAGGUCUGGCUAGGUCCUAGCUGGAGCAUGAGAGAUGAGAGAAGAAGUUGCCAAAGAGGCUCUUAGAUCUCUCAGGCUCUCACUUCCAAUUUUAGCUUCCAAAGUACAAGGCAGCAGAUAGCUGCAGGGAGGGGGAGAUGUCACUGGUUAUUCCUCUCACCUUUUCCUUGCCUUCAGCUAUAGCAUGCAUUGCAUUGCCCAAAUCACAAGGCAGAGCAGGGUCUCUCCAAAGCUGGUGAGGUCUUCUUGGUGGUGCUGCUGCUGCUGUUGAUGAUGAUGCAGGGAGGAGGUCCUUUGUACUAGGAAGCAGCGCAGCAUGCCCCACUCCCAUCUCCUGCUGGGUUUCUGAGCAGAACCAUCGGGUAAAGCAACCAAUUAAGAUUAUCCUGGCAAUGGCUUUCAAGGAUACCUGAACUUAAGAUCUCUGAGAUAGUCCUCUAGCUCUCCAGGCAUGGUGUCUCCAAGGCUUUGACUAAGGUGGUAGUGAUGGAAAUAAAUAUGAAAAGAGUUUUAAUGGGUGGGGGGAAAGUUCUAGAUAACUGGGUGUAUUAGCUGAGUAGUCCACCACUGAGGGUGGGAAGAGUGAUGGGUCAUCUUAGGGUGGAGGGGAGACUGGGAAGAGUGCCUAGAAAAUUAGCCUAGGGGAAUGAGUCUCCCCUUCUCCUUCAUCAACAUUUUACUUAGAACCAGCCCUGCUUUGUGUACUAAAAUUGCCCUAAAGAUUGUAUUCAAUUUAACCUAGGCAAACAUUUAUUGUCUGUUCUGUAGGGAAAGAAAGACAAAAACAGAAGAGUCUCUCCCUGCCCCCAGGAAACUUGUGUUCUAUUGGAAGCUUUAGUUUUUAAUUUAUUAAUGCUCAUUACCUUCUGGGACUAGGCUUUGGUUUUAGGAAGUCUGGGGCAGAGUCUAGAGCUCUAUCUCUUAAGAAUCUUUGAAUUUCGGGAGGUCCUAGGUUCAAAUCUGGCCUCAGACACUUCCCAGCUGUGUGACCCUGGGCAAGUCACUUGACCCCCAUUGCCUACCCUUACCACUCUUCUGCCUUGGAGCCAAUACACAGUAUUGACUCCAAGACGGAAGGUAAGGGUUUUAAAAAAAAAAAAGAAUCUUUGAAUUUAUCCUUAUUGAAUUUGCUUUUUUACUCCCUACUGAGGGAAGGAAACAGUUGGUCCCAGUUCUUAAUCUUAGUCACAUUUAAGGGGAUUGAAAAAGUAAUCAAAAGAAAUUACAUCUUUCCAGAUUAAUUAGUCUACAUAUUUCAGUGUUCCUGAGAAAGACUUAAGCAGAAGUGGAAAAAGAUUAUGGUGUUAAACUCUCACAUGGUGUGUGUGUGUGUGUGUGUGUGACAAGUACAUCUGACUUGUACAAAGACUUAUGUUAGAGUUAAAAAGGACUGCUCCUCUUAUUAAUAAUGAUGAUGAUUAGUUCAUGGCUUUUUAACCUUUUCUUUUCUUGGAUCCUUUUGAUCAUUUUAAAUGUAACAAACUUAUGAAUUGCAAUAAUUUGUGGAUAAAAGGAAAAGAGAAUAAAACUAAUGAUUGAUAUAUUGACAAAAACCCAGUUUGGGGCAAUCCCCCUUGGCAUAAGAGUAUCCAUUCAAAACAAAUGCAUCCAACCCUCCAAAGUUCAAUUUAGUACAUCCCAAAGUUCACUCUGGAUCUUCUAGUACAGCGUGUGGUCUCUGCAGGUAUCUUCAUGGUGCCUUCUCUGAAAAGUUUCACCUUCUGGACUCUGGGAGGUUGCAAUUUUCUUAUCCUAAAAGUACUCUGAAAGGAAUUUAAACUUUGCAUUAUAGGAUAAUAAUAGUCCUCCCUGAGGGGGAUGGUGACAAACACAGGAUCACUCAGGGAUACAUGGUUACAUUAUGAGGUAUAUGAAUCAGUUGGCAAAAGAAAUUAAAAAACAUCAAAAAAUCCAAAUAAAAGAGAAGAAAUAACUUCUGGAUGAAAUACAAAAUAUCAAAGUCUUAUGUCUAAAAAAAUCUAAGUAAAGAAAAACAAACCUAUAACAGGUCCUUGAAUCAGAGCCCAAUUAAAGUGAUUUAUGUAAUUAUGCAAUUACCCAAUCAGUAGCCAGGACUAUAGAAAGUUUGCCUCACUAUGAAGGACAGAAAAGGGACUAGAUUAUGGGAGCCAGAUAGGAGCCAAAGUGAGGUGCUUGAUAUAUUAUGUAGAACAAGGAAGACCUGCCUCUGACAUUUGUCAAACAGCCUCAACCUCAAACCCCAAACAAGUUCAAGUCCUCUCGUCUUGGCUCAAAAUUUCUUCAAUUCCAUUGAGGUUGGUUGGUCUUUUUGACCUUAUGCUCUAUAGGCACUAUGCAGGUAGAUUUGUGCUUCUUUGGCAGUAUGCAGUGCUUCUUUUUGUAUUCCCUUCUCCUGGAAUCAGACAGAAUCAUUAAGCAAAGUCUCAUAAUUUUUUUUUAAACAAUCAAUGGCAUUAUUUUUAUAGUCUAAAGCUUUUUGAGUAUGCAUUGACAUUAGGGCAAAUGUAUUUUAAACAUAUUAAUGCAAAGUAAAAAAAAGUUAAAGAAAAUCUUCUCAAUACUGGUGAUAUGUGCUUCAGAUGCAAAAAGGAGAGAAAAAAAUAAAAAUCAAAUACUAUUUUGUACAUGCAAGGAAAAACAAUAAUAAAAAAGUUUUAAAAAUCAAAAAUAUAUAGCUUAAAAAUCAGUGACACACUGUGUCAGCCAAGGAGAGGUAGAAUAUAAAGGUUUCUCACCCAAAAAUGAGAUCCAUUUCGUUUUUUAACUUGGCCAUGAACUACUGUGUGUGUGCAAAUGGUUUUCACAAAGUAACAGAUUUAUAAAACAGUAAUACAGUAGAAAAUGUACAUUUAAAGAAAGUACCAAAAUCUCCAAAAUUCACAAUAGCCCAGUUAAUGACAAUAGCAAACAAACCCACUAUCUUAUAGGAUUCACAUGAGUUGCUGUAUAGCUACUUGCUGAAUGACAUUUAAAAACCCUGUGAGCUGAUGGAUACUUGUCACAAGUUUUACAGGUGUAGCAAAUCUUUCAACCUUGGCAAAGAUAUUUUUAACAAAUUCCAUUACUGCCAUUAUUCCAAAAUUUGGCAGAAGAGCCUAGGAAAAACACAAACCUCUAUACUGCUGAUGAAAACCUUUUGGGGUAUAAAACAUCACCAAGAGAUGUAGAUUGUUCUGAUAGAAGUAGAUUAAACUGAAGAGUUAAAAAACAAAACAAAACAUGCAGAAGCUUACUUUGGCUUCAUGCUUUAUAUAAAACUUUUAUGACAGGAACUUCUAUUUUGUUCUCUACCUUUUAAUUUAACAUUCCUAUAUAUACAUCUGUGUGGUAAUUUAAUUUAACAAUAAUUUAAUAAAUGCAAAAAGGAAGAAAAGGCUGUUUAGGCAAUGUGUGACCUCUAUGGAUAAGGUAACAAAUGCAGUAUCCUUAAGGAGUUAUGGUUUUGCUACUAAAAAAGGUAUUUAUGGGCUUUCACAAUGAUAUGUUCUUCAAUACAGUCAUAAUGGAAAGGUAAAAAUAAAGAUCAUGUAACCGAAUAUAUUGAUUAGAUUAAUGUAUGAACUUAAAAAAGAAUUAAGCUUUAAAACAAUCAGUAAAAUACAAGAAGCACUGACAGGGUACAGGUAGUGAAUUAAAAAAUCCCUUUUUUUUUCUAAUUCCAAUAGACUUCUUCACUAUUAUGGAGGGGAAUAAACUCAAAAUCGUUAGCAAGCAAAAAACUUCCAUAUAGCUUUAAGAUUCAUUCACCUCCCCAGUAUUUAUCAUCCAUUUGCAUAUCUUUUGUCACCCCUCUGGAGUUUCUCAUACAUGCACUAGGCAUAAUCUCCAUUCUGCAUGUUGAGAGUAUUUAAGAUUUUCAAAACUUUGUCAAAAUGUUCGAGUUUGAUCUAGAAUUCAAGUAACCUAGCUUGUUGCUGCAUAUUCUUAAGGAGAGGUAAAUAAAGUGGCAAAUCUCCAAUAAAAAUAAAAACUCCAGGAAAAGAAUUAAACAGAGCCAGUGUAAGUUUGCCAGCUCUUCCAACUCAAAUUCUUGUUUCAGAGUUUCAAGCAUGUUUCCUAAUAGCACUAUUCCUCAAAAAACAAAACAAAACAAAACAAAACAAAAUGGAAUGGAUUUUAUUUAUAGGGUAAACAAAAAGGUCCCUGACUGGAAAGUAAAGGAAUUAGCUAGGAGGCUUGGAAAAGUAUUUUUCUUUCACCUCUUCCCAAGGGGCAAAACUUUGAGGGAAAACUAUAUCAUAUUUGCAUAUGAGAAAGAAUACUCCUUGGUGUUAAAAAAUCAGGUUUAUUCCCCAAAAUUCUGGCUUUAAAUCCACUGAUUUGGGCUAACUGCUCUCCCUGUUAUGUUGGGUUGUAGGGUGGAAAGAGAAAAAAAAUGGCAGGGAAUUCCCCUUCCUGUGAAAAAAAUCCUGGGUUGCAAGCCAGGAGUAGAGGGUCAUCUUAAGAAAUCUGCUUAGAAAUUAGAAGGGAGGUGGGGGUGAAUAGCAUGGGUUUGCUUCUCCCCUGCAGAAAAACGCCUAGGACAGGUUAGAAACCCAUGUGGGGGUGGGGUGGGGGAAGGGAUUUAUACUUCACCCAGUUCUUAAGAAUUCCCAGCUUGUGUGUUGAAAAGACACAGCACAGGCUCACAGCAGGAGGGUCUGGUCACAGGCUAGUGGAGGCUGCUAGCAGUCGCAGAAGCACAGGCAGUGGGGAAUGCUGGUUCAAGUAGAUGGGCUUAAGAAGCAGCAGGAGAGAAAAUGAGGCUUACAAAGUUUCUCUACUGGCUAUUCUUUCUCAAAGCCUUAAUUUUAAAAAAAAUUAUAUCCCUAUGUGGUAAGCUACAAUGUGAGAAUUAAAAUUAAUAUAUGAUAACUCAAGUAUUAUAUUUAUGAAAUUUAUUAAAAUAAAAACUAGAGUUAAAAAGGAGCUAGCUAACUCAAGAAAGAAGAGACAGAGGGAGGAGUCACAGAAAGUUAUUACAAUCAUGUAAAGACGUAUGUAAAUGAAAGGAAAAGGAUGCUGGGAAAUACAAAAGGAAUUCUGGGGAAGGUAGUCCUGGGGUUCAAGAUUUUCCAACUAUGCAACUUCAGGCACUGGGUAUGCAAAGAAAGACAAAGGAUAGCAUUUUAUUUAAUAUACAUAAGGGGCUUAUAGACAAUUGAGGGAGAGAACCUGAUAUAUU